UAGAGUUUGAUCAUGGCUCAGGACGACCGCUGGCGGCGUGCUUAAUACAUGCAAGUCAACGACUUUUAAGACAGCAAUAUUUUAAGGGGAGUGGCGCACGGGUGAGUAACACGUAGGCAAUCUACCUUUAGGACUGACACAACUCGUCGAAAGACGGGCUAAUAUCAGAUAAUGCAGCGGCUCCGCAUGGAGACAGUUGUUAAAGUACAAGCGCCUGAAGAUGAGCCUGCGGUCCAUUAGCUAGUUGGUAGAGUAACGGCCUACCAAGGCAACGAUGGAUAGCUGGUCUGAGAGGAUGAUCAGCCACACUGGAACUGAGACACGGUCCAGACUCCUACGGGAGGCAGCAGUAAGGAAUAUUGCUCAAUGGCCGAAAGGCUGAAGCAGCAACGCCGCGUGAAGGAUGAAUGGCCUUUGGCCUGUAAACUUCUGUAAAAGAGGAAAAAUAGUUAGGUAUAUCCUAAUGUGAUUGUACUCUUGAAGUAAGCCCCGGCUAACUACGUGCCAGCAGCCGCGGUAAUA
rnacentral:rRNA from 1 species